rnacentral:snoRNA from 1 species
ACCAACUGUUGAUGGUGUACCUCGGUAGCCCCGUCAACCAUGCCUGGGCGGCUGUGGUCAGCAUGACUAGCAGGCAGUUUGCCAUGACUAGUUGGUC